rnacentral:rRNA from 1 species
CCUACGGGGGGCAGCAGUGGGGAAUAUUGGACAAUGGGGGCAACCCUGAUCCAGCCAUGCCGCGUGUGUGAAGAAGGCCCUCGGGUUGUAAAGCACUUUCAGUGAGGAAGAACGCCUGGUGGUUAAUACCCAUCAGGAAAGACAUCACUCACAGAAGAAGCACCGGCUAACUCCGUGCCAGCAGCCGCGGUAAUACGGAGGGUGCGAGCGUUAAUCGGAAUUACUGGGCGUAAAGCGCGCGUAGGUGGCUUGAUAAGCCGGUUGUGAAAGCCCCGGGCUCAACCUGGGAACGGCAUCCGGAACUGUCAAGCUAGAGUGCAGGAGAGGAAGGUAGAAUUCCUGGUGUAGCGGUGAAAUGCGUAGAGAUCGGGAGGAAUACCAGUGGCGAAGGCGGCCUUCUGGACUGACACUGACGCUGAGGUGCGAAAGCGUGGGUAGCAAACAGGAUUAGAUACCCUAGUAGUC